UACGGAGGGUGCAAGCAUUAAUCGGAGUUAUUGGGCGUAAAGGGCGCGUAGACGGUAAGAUUAGUCAGAUGUGAAAUUUCGAAGCUCAACUUCGAAGCUGCAUUUGAAACUGUCUUUCUAGAGGAUAGGCGGGGAAAACGGAAUUCCACAAGUAGCGGUGAAAUGCGUAGAUAUGUGGAAGAACACCGGUGGCGAAGGCGGUUUUCUAGCUUAUUCCUGACGUUGAGGCGCGAAAGCAAGGGGAGCAAACAGG
rnacentral:rRNA from 1 species